AUGGAUGUUUUGAUAACUACGUCACACCUGUGGAUUUUGUUUGCUGUCAUCCCCCUGAAGUUUACUUCUACAGAGCAGAAAAACAUCACAGCUGAGUCUGGACAGGAUGUCACUCUGACAUGUCGAGCUCAAAAUAACAACAUUGAUCUUGUAGAGUGGAACAGAACUGACCUGGAAGAUAAACCUGUUUUUGUGUAUCGGAAUAACAUGUCCGAUCCAGAAAACCAGCAUCCAUCUUUUAAGAACCGGGUGGAUCUGCAGGACAGACAGAUGAAGGAUGGAGACGUGUCUUUGAUUCUGAAGAAUGUGAUGAUUAAUGACACUGGAACAUACGAGUGUCGUGUCAACAUGAAUUUAAAAUUAAAUAAAGACCCCAUCAGCAGCAUCUACCUUCAUGUUGCUGAUCCUCCAGGUGAGUGAGUAGAGUUGAGUGUGUGUGUGAUCAGAGGUGAAGCUGCUUCCUGGUUGUUGAUGUUUGUUUCUAAAGAUGUUGUUGAUGAGACUUUGUAGAAAGCAGCUGGUCUGAGUGAUGUGAUCAGAGUGCAGUAGAUAAUGUCUGACAGCAGUUUGAAGAGGAAAUGGAUUCUGUUCUGUUCUUCACUCAUCACCUACCUGACAGCUGACACCUCACACCUGUUUCUCACCUGCAGGUCAGACAGGAGGACACACAGAGGAUGGAGGGAAGAAGGAUGGAGGGAAGGAGGAUGGAGGAGCGAAGAGUGGAUCUGUUGGACUGAUUGUUGGUCUGGUAGUUCCUGCUGUGCUUCUUGUUGGUGUCGCUGUUUUUAUGAUCUAGAUAAACCAUGACAAUCAGAAUCAGGAUUCAUACUAACCUGUUGAAAUGCACUAUGUUUGAAACAUCUCACAGCUUUUCCACCUGAAUCUCCUGCUGUUGCUCCAAAUUCCCAGCGUGUCACUCAACACAGGAACAAACGAUGAUCUGAGGACAUGGAAAUCAUGAAAUUUGGUUUUCAGGGUUUCAAGGACUGAAAAACUCACUAAAAUCCUGGAUUCUCUUCUGUUCUUCACUCAUCACCAGCUCUCACCUUCUUCUCACCUGCAGGUCCUCCAGGAGGACUUGGAGGGUUUGUGGGACUGGUAGUGAGUCUGUCAGUUUUGGUGUGUUUAUUCUUGUACCUAAUGUUCUGAUCUCUAAAAGAAGAAAAGGGAACGGUGCUGAAUAUGUGAUUUCUGCUUCUCAGAGAUCCUGUUAAAGUCUAAAGACAUUGGGAGGGUUUCAAACUGUUUGGAGCAGGGAAACAGGUACUAAUGGUGCAGCACUGACUGAUGUGUUUGUGGAUAUGAACUCAUACACAUGAACAUACCUCAGGUUCAUAUCUACAAAUUCAUGUCCCAGGACAUAAACUUUAUAUUUAAUUUUACAUUUGGACAUCUGUGGGGUUGGUGAUGGAGGGAAUCAUUUCACAGCUCACAGGUUUCUACACUUAUGAAAUAAAACUGCAUCACUUUAAGCAUUAAAUCUAUGAAGUUAGAUAAACAUGAGGGUUUGGGAUAAAAUUGUUUACACUAAUUAAUGGUGAUGCAUCCUUGGCAAUGUUAUAGACAUGAAAUAUACGUCUGAGUGAAACACUCAAAGUCAUCAUGUUGACUAUCAUGAACAUUUUUAUAACUCCCUCUUUACAACUGUCUUUACUGUGUAACAUUUCCUACAUUUACACAAACAGAGAUUUUAGACUGUAAAAGUGAAUUUUGCACAGCUACAAAUUACAAACUUUGUUUUAUGAAAACUGAAGUUAAUGCAGCAGUGACUGGAAAAUAACUUGUUCUGCAAAAUAGGCCAUCUCAGUACCACUGACUUUAUGGUAUUUUUCAAAUUUGUUUGUUUAUUUCCUUCAGCAGGUACUUGAACUUCCUUCAGUGGAAAAUGGAAACAGAAGUGUUACAGAAACCUGUGUUUUACAUUUCCUAUUUGUGAAACUUUGGUUUUUUUUCUGUGUAAACCAACAAUUUAAACAAACAAAGUAAUUUAUGCUUUUUUUCUCUGGGUUGAGUGUUUUACAAGAUAGUGAAUGCAUAAAUGCUGUGAGCACUAUAAAAAAAAAAACACUGUUGCAGUUUGUGCAUGUGUCAAGUCAGCCAUGAAAUCCUGACGGUAUCAGAGUAAAAAAGCUGGUUUAGAUUUCAUUUGUUUGUUUCUCACCUCUCCUCCAGGAGCUGCUGAAACAGUCCAGGUGUCUUUUUUCUGCUCAGUGUUCUGGAGGAAAGUGUGCAAGGAAGGAGGAAUGUUGUGCGAUGUGUGUUGAUUUGAUCACUUACAGAGCAGUUUCCCUCAUGUACUGUCUGUGUUCACAUUUUCUGUGAAUAUUACAUCGACCACUACCCGACUUAUGGGGUUUAGCCUGGUGCAGAACUUUUCCCUCAUUUGUUCCUUGGUUUAAUUCUGUUAUUUGUUUGAUUUUAAUCUCCCUGUGAAUCUGAUGCACUGAGCCACUGAAGUGAAGAACCAAAGAAAUAAAAAACUGGACUGUUGACUGUUUAACAGUGAUUUAUUUUUGCACCUUCUCACUGAUUCCUGCUGAAUCAGCACCAAAGAACACACAGCAAACACUCUGAGCUUUGCUUCAGGUCAUCAUGUUAUUCAUCAUCAGAGCGAUCAGUGAGAACAAUCUGAUGUGUGUUUACUUCAACUCAGUAAAAGGCUUCUUCUCACUUAAGUCCCUCUUUAAACCAGAGUGUG
rnacentral:lncRNA from 1 species